rnacentral:rRNA from 1 species
GACAGAGGAUGCAAGCGUUAUCCGGAAUGAUUGGGCGUAAAGCGUCUGUAGGUGGCUUUUCAAGUCCGCCGUCAAAUCCCAGGGCUCAACCCUGGACAGGCGGUGGAAACUGCCAAGCUGGAGUACGGUAGGGGCAGAGGGAAUUUCCGGUGGAGCGGUGAAAUGCGUAGAGAUCGGAAGGAACGCCCGUGGCGAAAGCGAGGUCCUGGACGCCAUCUGACGCUGAGACGCGAAAGCCAGGGGAGCGAACGGG